rnacentral:tRNA from 1 species
ACUCUACUAGUAUGAUGCACAAGAAAAGGUC